CGGACUGCAGGCUGCAACCCGCCUGCACGAAGCCGAAAUCGCUAGUAAUCGCGGAUCAGCAUGCCGCGGUGAAUACGUUCCCGGGCCUUGUACACACCGCCCGUCACACCAUGAGAGUCGGGAACACCCGAAGUCCGUAGUCUAACCGCAAGGGGGACGCGGCCGAAGGUGGGUUCGAUAAUUGGGGUGAAGUCGUAACAAGGUAUC
rnacentral:rRNA from 1 species